AUCCAACUGACGAGUCCCAAAUAGGGCAAUUCCUGGAU
rnacentral:hammerhead_ribozyme from 1 species